rnacentral:rRNA from 2 species
AACAAAAAAUAUGAAUAUAUAAUUUUAUUUAUAUUUAAAUUAAUUGUUAUAUGUAUAUAUAUAUAUAUAUUAUUAAAAAGUGAAAUUUUAAUAAUUUAAAUAUAAUAUUUAUUUUAUAAUUAUGAUUUUAAAAAAUUUUUAUUAUAGACUAGGAUUAGAUACCCUAUUAUUUUUGUUAAAAACUAUAAAAAUUAAAAUAAAGUAUUUAAAGAUAUAAUCUUAAAAUUUAAAGAAAUUGGCGGUAUUUUAAUCAGGUUAGAGGAACUUGUCGUGUAAUUGAUAACCCACGAAUGAAUUUACUUAAAUUUUUAGUUUGUAUAUCGUUGUUAUUUUAAUAUUUUUAUUGAAAUUUUGUUAAUAUUAAAAAAUUUUUAUUGAAAAUUGAAAUCAAAUCAUGAUGCAGCGUAUAUUUAAGAAGAUAUUUAUUGAUGAGUUACAUUUAUUAAAUAAAUAAUAGAUUUAUUUUUGUAAAUAAAAUAAUGAUAUUGGAUUUAAAAGUAAUUUAAACUAGCAUUGUUUAAAUGAUUAUUGUUAUAAAAUA